UACGUAGGUGGCAAGCGUUGUCCGGAAUUAUUGGGCGUAAAGCGUGCGCAGGCGGCCUCUUAAGUCUGAUGUGAAAGCCCCCGGCUCAACCGGGGAGGGCCAUUGGAAACUGGGAGGCUUGAGUAUAGGAGAGAAGAGUGGAAUUCCACGUGUAGCGGUGAAAUGCGUAGAGAUGUGGAGGAACACCAGUGGCGAAGGCGACUCUUUGGCCUAUAACUGACGCUGAGGCGCGAAAGCGUGGGGAGCAAACAGG
rnacentral:rRNA from 1 species